rfam:Desulfuromonas sp. DDH964, complete genome.
AGCCGACAAGACUAAACCAUCCGUGAGGAUGGGGCGGAAAGCCCAGGGUCUCUUUGAGAUGGCCGGGAUGCCGAA